rnacentral:lncRNA from 1 species
CCUGCAUUGGUUCUUGCUGAUGAAAACAUGUAUCUUAACUUUUCUCUGUGCUGUUCUAUCUAGUAAUUGAGAAGGAGAGAUCCUUAUGUUGUUCAGCAGCAUGAACAAAAUUGGUGCACUGCCUUAUGGAGAAGUGUUAGAGAAUUUACACACAACAGGACUGGUGUUUGAUACUUCACCAGGUAUCCUCCUGCCCGUGAUAGUCCCUCUGAGAUGUUACUGAAUUACAAGGUCCGAGAAAUCCUGACCACAAGCCAACAGAUCCCUCAGAAGAACAUCAGGGCACAAAAGGACAUGUUCUUCACUGAAUUUUUUAGAGAAGGAAAAGGAAAGGGAUUGUUUUACAUUAGAAUAACGGUGUUGUAGACACUGCCAGGGGAUGAUCUAGGCUGCAUCUUGACUUGAUUUCCCUGGUAGACUGCAAGUGGCAAGAUUGCUUCCCUACCUGAAGUUUAAGGUGAGGAGAAUGGAUUCUGGAGAAAAGUGUAACAAGAUUAAAAAGAAGAAUCUAUUUGAACAGAUCAUCAUCUUUCUUUCCUCCACUUUCUUAUUGUUCCUAUGACCAGGGGUAGGACAGCUCUUCAUUAUGGCUUUUAUUCUUUCCCUCAUUGUUUCCCU